ACGGGAGGCAGCAGUGAGGAAUAUUGGUCAAUGGGCGGAAGCCUGAACCAGCCAAGUCGCGUGAAGGAUGAAGGUAUUAUGUAUUGUAAACUUCUUUAGACGUAGAUAAAUAAGAGGCUCGUGAGCCUUGAUGCUAGUAUACGUAGAAUAAGGAUCGGCUAACUCCGUGCCAGCAGCCGCGGUAAUACGGAGGAUCCGAGCGUUAUCCGGAUUUAUUGGGUUUAAAGGGUGCGCAGGCGGCCCUGUAAGUCAGCGGUUAAAUCGUGGAGCUCAACUCCAUCCCGCCGUUGAUACUGCAGGGCUUGAUUGCGGUCGAGGUUGGCGGAAUUCGCCGUGUAGCGGUGAAAUGCAUAGAUAUGGCGAAGAACUCCGAUUGCGUAGGCAGCUGGCCAGGCCGUAAAUGACGCUCAUGCACGAAAGUGCGGGGAUCGAACAGGAUUAGAUACCCUGGUA
rnacentral:rRNA from 1 species